AUCGUAGACAUGGCAGGCGCGGGUCAAAGUGUAGUAUCUGUACUUAUCAGCCUAAUGUCUGAUACGGGUUGUAUUUGGUCCGAAGCUAUUAAACUUAUUUUUACAAGAUGGCAGAGUGCUUAACGCCUGCUUCACCUCCGUUGAGGGUCGGUCCGGUAUUGCACUAUCUUCGGGAUUGGCCCACGUAUG